rnacentral:rRNA from 1 species
AUUGAACGCUGGCGGCAGGCCUAACACAUGCAAGUCGAGCGGAUGAAGGGAGUUUGCUCCUGGAUUCAGCGGCGGACGGGUGAGUAAUGCCUAGGAAUCUGCCUGGUAGUGGGGGAUAACGUCCGGAAGCGGGCGCUAAUACCGCAUACGUCCUGAGGGAGAAAGUGGGGGAUCUUCGGACCUCACGCUAUCAGAUGAGCCUAGGUCGGAUUAGCUAGUUGGUGGGGUAAAGGCCUACCAAGGCGACGAUCCGUAACUGGUCUGAGAGGAUGAUCAGUCACACUGGAACUGAGACACGGUCCAGACUCCUACGGGAGGCAGCAGUGGGGAAUAUUGGACAAUGGGCGAAAGCCUGAUCCAGCCAUGCCGCGUGUGUGAAGAAGGUCUUCGGAUUGUAAAGCACUUUAAGUUGGGAGGAAGGGCAGUAAGUUAAUACCUUGCUGUUUUGACGUUACCAACAGAAUAAGCACCGGCUAACUUCGUG